rnacentral:rRNA from 1 species
UAUAACGUCCUGAAAUAAACUAAUUAAAAAAAAAAGAAAUACCAAUUCUCGUCCGAUCACUGAAGUCAAGCAGCGUUGGGCACGGUCAGUACUUGGAUGAUCGCCUGGGAACACUGUGUAACGUUGUAC